rnacentral:rRNA from 1 species
GAAGUCUAACAUGCGCGCGAGUCAUUGGGCGACAAACCCAAAGGCGUAAUGAAAGUGAAGAAAGCUUUGCUUUCUAAGGGAGGAUGGGCGCUCGGCCGCCAGCGGCGACGCCCCGCACUCCCGAGGCGUCUCUUUCUCAUUGCGAGUGGAGGCGCACUCAGAGCGCUCACGUUAGGACCCGAAAGAUGGUGAACUAUGCCUGGUCAGGACGAAGCCAGGGGAAACCCUGGUGGAGGUCCGUAGCGAUUCUGACGUGCAAAUCGAUCGUCAGAGCUGGGUAUAGGGGCGAAAGACUAAUCGAACCAUCUAGUAGCUGGUUCCCUCCGAAGUUUCCCUCAGGAUAGCUGGCACCAAGGUGAGACGAGUCUCAUCUGGUAAAGCGAAUGAUUAGAGGCCUUGGGGCCGAAACGACCUCAACCUAUUCUCAAACUUUAAAUAGAUGAGAACUCCGGCUUGCUUAACAGUGAAGCCGGAGAUUCGGAUCAUGGUGCCCAGUGGGCCAAUUUUG